GUGCUUGCUUUGACAGCACAUAUACUAAAAAAUUGGAAUGAUACAGAGAAAAUUAGCAUGGCCACUGUGCAAGAAUGACAUGCAAAUUCAUGAAGCAUUCCAUUAAAAA
ensembl:snRNA U6 U6 spliceosomal RNA